rnacentral:lncRNA from 1 species
UGCAAAAAAAAAUUCGGUGGGGCUAAAGGUAUGGGGAGGUAGGAUUCUACUAAAGAUCUACUAUAUUUGGUGACUCGUCAGACUCAUGCAUUAUACUAAAAGGCAAAAUAAACAACUAAAAGGAAAUAAAAAUAAAUAAACUAUCUAAAAACAGCAAAGAAAAAGCGAUAAAGGAAAAAAAAACGAGAAAGGUAAUAAAGAAAAGACGAUAGAGUCUCCUCCCACACUUAAAUCGAACAUUGUCCCCAAUGUUUCGAAAUAAGAUAAGGGAAGAGUUACCUGACAAUCUAUUGCUGACCACUGGUGCCCUCGCCAUCCUGAGGUGGACGACGGGAUCGGGUACGACGACGGUCUCUCUGAUCCAUCCUCGCCUGCAGGGCAUCCUGAGCGGUCCUCACCUCUCGAAGGUUACCCAACCACUGGUGCCCUCGCCAUCCUGAGGUGGACGACGGGAUCGGGUACGACGACGGUCUCUCUGAUCCAUCCUCGCCUGCAGGGCAUCCU